rnacentral:rRNA from 1 species
UUAUACAGCGAAACUGCGAAUGGCUCAUUAAAUCAUAUGUGAUUUCUUAGAUCGUACUGUCCGUAAUGGACUAAGGAUAACUGUGGUAAUUCUAGAGCUAAUACAUGCACUCAGUUCUGACCCUAGGGGAAGAACGCUCAUAUUAGACCAAGACCUACCGUUGGGGCAACCCUUCGUAGUCUAGGUGACUCUGGAUAUUAAUCAGUCAAUCGAAUGGCCUCGUGCUGUCGAUGUAUCUUUCAAGCGUAUGCCCUAUCACCUGUCGACGUUAGGUUAACAGCCUAUCGUGGGGGUAACGGGUAGCGGGGAAUCAGGGUUCGAUUCCGGAGAGGGCGCAUGAGAAAUGGCGACCACAUCCAAGGAAGGCAGCAGGCGCGCAAAUUACCCAAUGCCGACACGGCGAGGUAGUGACGAAAAAUAACAAUACGGGACUCUUUUGAGGCCCCGUAAUUGGAAUGAGCACAAUCUAAAUCCUUUAGCGAGGAUCUAUUGGAGGGCAAGUCUGGUGCCAGCAGCCGCGGUAAUUCCAGCUCCAAUAGCGUAUAUUAAAGUUGCUGCAGUUAAAAAGCUCGUAGUUGGAUCUCGGGGUACCUGGUCUAGCCGGUAUAGCUCACGCUAAAACUGGUCUGACCCCCCAACGUGAGGUAUUCGUCUCCGGGUGCACUUCAUUGGGUGCUCGUGAGGGGCCUCGUAGUUACUGUGAAAAAAUUAGAGUGUUCAAAGCAGGCUCAUAUGUUCGGAUAGUCGUGCAUGGAAUAACUGAAUACGUGACUGGCGCUUUUCAGUUGGUCUCGGCGACUGGUCAAAUGAUUAAGAGGGACUGCCGGGGGCAUUGGUAUGGCGGGGUUAGAGGUGAAAUUCUUGGAUCCUCGCCAGACCAACAAAAGCGAAAGCAUUUGCCAAGAAUGUCUUCAUUAAUCAAGAACGAAAGUCAGAGGUUCGAAGACGAUCAGAUACCGUCGUAGUUCUGACCAUAAACGAUGCCAGCUGGACUUUGGCUUGAGUUGUUUUUCGACCGAGCCAUUGUCCCCCGGGAAACCUAUAAGCGAUCGGGUUCCGG